AGGAAAAAACCAUACUUAUAUCCCAUGCCACUCUAUUGCCAAUGCACUCGGACCAGAAAGAGCCGAAGUACUGCCAAUUUUCCAUGCCUUGACAGGAUGCGACACAGUGUCUUCUUUUAAUGGGAGGGGAAAAAAGAGUGCAUUUGAUGCCUGGAAUGCCUACCCUGAUGCAACUUGCGGAUUCAAGGCAUUGUUGGAUGCAAAAUUAGAAGAAGCGGACACUUUUAUUCAAAAAUUUAUUAUAACAAUGUACGACCGCUCAAGCCCUUGCACGACAGUCAACGAGUGCAGAAAAUAUUUAUUUACGAAGAGGGACAGACAGCUAGAAAAUAUCCCUCCAACGGAAGCCGCUCUUCGCCAGCACACACUUCGGGCAAUAUACCAAGGAGUUCAUGUCUGGGGACAGGCCUUAGUGCCUCUCCAAAAGCUUCCGAGUCCUUCUUCUUGGGGCUGGAGAAUGGAAGACAGUGAAUGGACUCCUGUUUGGUCAGACUUAUCCGAUGUUGCAAGUGUGUGCCUGGAACUCACUCGUUGCCGGUGCAAGGCAGGUUGCAAAAAUCGUUGCAACUGCAUAAAAAGAAAAUUAAAGUGCACAGAAUUAUGUCUGUGUACUGGAAACUGCGGACAUUAAAUAUACAGAAAGCAUUUUAUUCGUCAUCAUAAAAUCUAGCAAAGUAAGCAUACCUACGUAGAUACUCGUACUCGACCAUUUUGUAAGAUAAACGCCGCCUAGCGAGAGUCCAACUACCCGCGCUGCGGUCAUUUAAUAAUUUUUUCACCAUCUUUU